ensembl:Y_RNA Y_RNA Y RNA
GACCCAUCCAAAGGCAGUGAAUUAUCUUAAUUGAUUGUUCACAGUUAUAGAUCAAACUCCUUGUUAUGCUCUUUCCCCCUUCUCACUACUGCACUUGACUAGUCUUAA